AACCCACGGUGCGAGCACUUCCUCAAUAGAUCCUUAUACCUCUCUCAUGCAUCGUAUAGGGUCUCUAAGUCCAUUUGCACAAAGGAAGAGAUAUCAUUCCUCAACUU
rnacentral:snoRNA from 2 species